rnacentral:lncRNA from 1 species
CCUGGACACAGGCACAUGUUCUCUACAGGGUGCCCUCUUGGCUUUACCUCUUUUACAAACCUCUCCUCCUCUGACAAUACCCUCUCUGCAGACCCCAUCUUCUCUGGCCUUGCCCUCUCUGCAGUGUCCCUCCUCCCCACUGGCCACAGCCACACCGCCCCUACAGAUUCCCCUUGUGGUUUUACCUACUUUACAGACCCCUCCUUCUCCCCUGACCACGCUCCCUCCGGGGGCCCCUCCUGGCUUGACCUCGCCUGUUGUUCAGCCUCCUUCUCCUCCUGCCUCACCCCCACUGCAAGCCCCGCGUCGACCCCCGACCCCGGGUCCAGAUGUCCCUAUCUCAGGUCCACGGCUGACCUUGGCGCUGGCCCCUGCCGCUCCGCCACCGCCCUCGCGAAGCCCCUCCAGUACGCUGAGCGGCCCGGACCUGGCAGGCCACAGCAGCAGUGCCACGAGCACACCGGAGGAGCUCCGCGGUUACGAUAGCGGGCCCGAGGGCUGCGCUACAAUCUCCCCGGCCCCGGAUGUGGAGCUAGCUGCCUGCCACCCAGCCUCCUGGAGUCGAAGUUCUGCUCCGCCCUUAGCAGUGCGGGGCACUCCGGGAGUUCCCCUGCCGUGGCCUCCCACUGCUGGCCCGGGUUCCUCUGACGGCCUGUGCACCAUCUAUGAAGCCGAAGGACCAGAGUCGGUGGCCCCAACCCCUGGAUCUCUAGAUGUGGAGCCAGAACCGAGGCCUGGCCCUGGCAGUGCUAAGGUGACUGCUGCAGCCUGCGCAGGAGCAUCCUCUAGAAGCCCAAAGUCGACUCGCCUUGGUGAGCUGCCGCUGGGGGCGCUUCAGGCGAGCGUUGUGCAGCACCUGCUGAGCCGGACUCUGCUGCUGGCAGCCGCGGAAGGUGCAGCAGCGGGCAGCGAAGGUGGUUCAGGAGGCUCAGGGGGUGGUGGUAUCUCUGGUGGAUCCCGGGCUCCGCUUAGCGAUGCUGAAUUGGGCCGCUGGGCCGAAUUGCUUUCUCCCCUGGACGAAUCGCGUGCCAGCAUCACUUCAGUCACCAGCUUCUCCCCAGAUGAUGUAGCCUCCCCACAGGGUGAUUGGACUGUAGUGGAAGUGGAGACUUUUCAUUGAGCCAGACCUCAGCCCUGUCCACCAUACACAUACCACAUUAGAAUCCACCCUUCUGGUUACACCUCUUUUGUCUUAGUCUCCACUCCCACUUCCUGUGGUACUUGGAUGGAUUGUUUUUUUACCUCUAGAGCCCUGUGUUUGGGCCCAGGCUGUACCCCUGUUCUUCCUUGGCUUAGGCUUGGGC